GGAUGUGGCUCAGUUUGGUAGAGCGCCUGCUUUGGGAGCAGGAUGCCGCAGGUUCAAAUCCUGUCAUCC
rnacentral:tRNA from 1 species